rnacentral:rRNA from 1 species
UACGUAGGGUGCGAGCGUUGUCCGGAAUUAUUGGGCGUAAAGGGCUCGUAGGCGGUUUGUCGCGUCGGGAGUGAAAACCCAGGGCUUAACUCUGGGCUUGCUUUCGAUACGGGCAGACUAGAGGUAUGCAGGGGAGAACGGAAUUCCUGGUGUAGCGGUGAAAUGCGCAGAUAUCAGGAGGAACACCGGUGGCGAAGGCGGUUCUCUGGGCCUUACCUGACGCUGAGGAGCGAAGCGUGGAGAGCGAAACAGG